AAUCAACGCUGGCGGCGUGCCUAACACAUGCAAGUCGAACGCGAAAGAUCCCUUCGGGGAUUGAGUAGAGUGGCGAACGGGUGAGUAACGCGUGGAUGAUCUGCCCUUUGGUGGGGAGUAACCCGGGGAAACCCGGGCUAAUACCGCAUAAGCCUCUAGAUUCGUUUUUAGAGGGAAAUGUUUUUAGCCGAAGGAGGAGUCCGCGUCCGAUUAGUUAGUUGGUGAGGUAAAGGCUCACUAAGACUGCGAUCGGUAGCCGGUCUGAGAGGACGGACGGCCACACUGGGACUGAGACACGGCCCAGACUCCUACGGGAGGCAGCAGUGGGGAAUUUUGGGCAAUGGGGGCAACCCUGACCCAGCAACGCCGCGUGGAGGAUGACGGUUUUUCGGAUCGUAAACUCCUGUCCUGAGGGACGAAGAAGUGACGGUACCUCAGGAGGAAGCCCCGGCUAACUCCGUG
rnacentral:rRNA from 1 species